UCCAGGUGGACAGCUGCAGAUCUGAUCACCGCCUAUUUUUACACAAGAACCUCCAUUCAAGCAAGCAUCACCAGAACAGGAGUGAACACCUGCAGUAAGAGAGGGAGGAUAUAGGCAUGUCAUACCAAAAUAAUGGUAUAGGUAUAAAAAGUACAGUAUAUGCAUUCUGUUAAUUUGGACUUUAAAACAGUGUUUACAUCCUACCUGGAAUAUCAAAUGUCUGCCCGAUCAUUGUGUAUGGAAGGUCUGCUGUACUGUGUGUUGUGCUUUCAUUCUGUAUACUUGGAGGUGGGCUUUUAACCAAAGCGACCUCAGAAACAUCUUCAAGGGAGGGAAAUGGUGUUGUAAUCUCACUCUGGGUGGUAGGUACUAACGAUGUCAUCUGAUAUUCAUUAUGAAUUGGAAUCUCAGUUGUAAGAGUUACAGCUUCCUCAAUCUGACCAGCUGCUUCUUGUUUCCUUGAGGCAGUUUCUUUACUAACAAUCUUGAUAUCAGACUCAGGUGUCAUAAGUAAAGGUGAGGUUGUUGCAGUAGACAGAAUUACUGCCUGAACCUCAUCAGAUGAUGGGAUAAUAACUGAAUCCUCAUCUGAGCUGCUCUUCCAACUACUGGAAGUUACAAAUCCAUCAAACUGAGGUUGUAUGGUGGUGCUGAAUCCUGUGUCAACUCUUUUUUCCAAGAAUUUCUCUUCACUUAUAGCAGCGGAACUUGGUUUAUCUGUGACAUCAGAAAGUCUUGUUGUAAUGUAAUGCUUAUUGGAUGAUAUGGUGUUUACUUCCCCAGAUGUGCUUCUCUCUGAACCACUUGUUCCACUGUUUGGUGAGCUGGUGACUGAAGCAUCACUCUCAGUUCUUGAGACACUCUCAAAAGAAGUUUCACUCUCAAUGUCUGGUUGCAUGGUAGUCUCAAUGCCAGUGUCAAUUUUUGAUUCUGGGCUGGUUUCAAAGCUAGUUUCAACUUCAAGCUGUGAGGUGGUCUCAAAACUAGUCUCAACAUCAGGCUGUGAGGUGGCCUCAAAGCUUGUCUCAUCAUCAGGCAGUGAGGUGGUCUCAAAACCAGUCUCAACAUCAGGCAGUGAGGUGGUCUCAACAUCAGUCUCAACAUCAGGCUGUGAGGUGGGGAAACUCUUCUUACCUUCAGGCUGGGUGAUGUCAUCAAUGCUAGUCACAUCUUCUGAGCUAAUUUCUAGGUCAGUCUCGCUGUCAAUGUUUGUUUUGUUCAUUAAAUCUGGUAUGGAAUGUACUGUUACGUAA
ensembl:lncRNA